GCCAAAGUCCACACGACAAUUUCUUUCACACACUUUAUCAGGAGUAAAAUGUAUCAGUGUGCUGAAAUCUGCUUGCCAAGAAAGAAGAAAGUCCGCGAGUCUUUCCACUCAAAUACAUACAGGAUAUUUGAUGAAAAGAUACCUGACAGAUUGGACCCUGAUAAAGUCUAUAAAGUAAAUUCAUAUGCUCAGAGAGAUCCCAAGGAAUAUGAUCAGCUUAAAAUACACAAUACCCCACAAAUGUACAAUGCCAAGUUCAUAAGAACCAAUGUCAGGUUCAUGAAUGCACCCAUUUCUCACAUGGAGACAGAGAGUACAAUGGCUGAGCAGACUUAUAACAGUGUCACUGGUGGCCCAAUACAUCGUAUCACGAUGUGAGCACCCAGGCACCUUACAGAAAGGACAGCACUCAGAGACAAGACUACCAGGCCAUUCAACAAACAUACGCCCUGGUCAGACAUGGGAGGAACAACAACAGAGUGCCUGCUUCAGGAAUCGUUCCCAUGCUGAGCUCUAUUGGUAGCCCAAAAGUGUUGCUCGAGCAAAUGUCUUUUAUUCACCAAUAUGAUUCAAGGAAAUUACAGGACCAACCAUACCAAGGAAGGCGACAUGGAGCUUUAGUGUGGAGCGAGGCUGGGCCAUGGUCUCCUGUCGGGGAGCGGGGAGGAAGAGGGGGGAAAGAGGUAACCUCUCCCCAGCAGCAAGUUUUCAAUGACGGCAGGAUCCACUCCGGAAAGGCGGGCCCCAGCGCUAAAGGCACCAAGGCCAUCGCCUGCCACUCACCGACCCAUCCCUCCAGCCAGCUGUUUCACAGCUUCUAUACUCCCAUGACACAUAUGGGAGGGGUUGAGGGAGGGUUUGAGGGGAUCUCCUCAGUCUUAGACAGGGCUGCGGAGGGUCGGAGAGCUAUGCAUGCGGACGGCGAGGGGACUGUCUUGCAAAGGCAGGGAUCCAACAGUCAACAGGUGGAGGUUCAAGCCCCAGCCCAAAUUGCAGGCUCAGAGCCUAACAACUGAUGGCACUGAUGGCAUUUUAACACUUUAAGGGCUGCCUUAUGUAAAGAUCUGGGUAGAAAUCGGUUGCAAUUGUGUUACAUUUUUGGUCAAAAAUAAGAUAAAGAUUAAAAUAAUAAAAGGUUCAACCUGCAAAAGUAACUGCUGUUAAAUGGUAUUUUCAAUUAAAGAAAAAUACUGUAUAUGGUAUGUACAACUGUCAUACCCAAUUCUAACCCCCAAUCAGGAGCCCUAAGCAAAAUUUGGUUGGGCCCCCCCUCCCCACCUUGCAGCAAAACAUUUUUUGUUGCUACCCUCUUGAUGGCUGAGAACUUUUCUUAAAGCAAAUUUCCUGCAAUCCUAUACAUUUUGCCAUGGGGCGUAGAUGAAAUGUUGCAGUUUUAAAGCAAGUUUUCUGCAAUUUUACACAUUGUACCAUGGGGUGGAGAGACAUUCUUGCUGUUUUAAACCUAAUUUCCUGCAAUUCUACACAUUUUGCCAUGAUUUAUGCCAUGUUAAUAUGAUAUUUGAGUGAGAAUGUCUAACAAAAUUAAUGGGGCCCCACUGGAAAUCAGAGCCCUGGGCACAUGCCCUGCAUGCCCGUUCAGUAUUCAGCUAUGAUUACUAUAAGUUUAGAUAGCUGGUUAGACUAACUACCAAUUCUGUUUGUUUGUUGCUGAUAUGGCAAAUUGAGUGAUUGUCAGUGACUGACAUAACAAGAGAAAAGCUUCCAAAAGAUGCACAACCAAAUUUUAAAAUGGCACCUAGUGUAUUCUACUAUUCCCUGACUGAGUUCCUAAAAAAAUUGGAACUCAAAAAUGUUGGGUUGAGGGCCCCCUAGUGGCUGGUGGCCCUAAGCGACCGCUGAUGUCGUUUAUGCCUGAGCCGGCACUAUCCAAAAUAUAAGGUUGUUUUACUUAAGAAUGUUUGGCUGAAAAACUAAUUUAAAUUGUGACUAUUGUGGCUAUAGAUUGUGACUGAUGUACUGGAGUGUUAACAUGAACAGACUAUAUUUAUAACGUUUAGCAAAUUGAAUAUACUUUGCCAGCACACAAUCUUUGAAAAAAAGAGCAUGUUGAAACCAUAGAAUACAGUUUUUGUGAGCUAUCUAAUCGCUUUUCAUAGUCCUUAUGAUGAAGCCCACACCAGUUUUCUGCAUUUAGAUAGAAUAGUGGAUCUGCGUCAGGUGAUGGAUCUAUAUCAGGUUUCAGUACAACUGUGUAGAAUAAAAGAAUAGAGGAAUAGUUAUUUUAUUGUAUAUUUGGGUAGAAGGGUAAUAAUAUACCCUUUUCCCAUUACCCCCAGACACACACAUGUUGAGAGGCCCAGGCAUUGCAGCGCCCCUGGAUGGAGAAAAAUGUUGUUCUCCAAGUGCUUUGCUCAAGUGCCUUGCUCAAGGGCACAACGUUAGUGGUUUGUACCUGGGAUUAGAGAUCAGCAGCCCCCCAGCUACAAGAUCAGUUCCCAGUUCCCAUUUCUAUUGAUGGUCAUCUUUACCCUAAAGUGCAGUGCCUUCAGAAAGUAUUCACACCCCUUUACCCUUUCCACAUGUUGUUGUGUUACAGCCUGAAUAAAAA